rnacentral:lncRNA from 1 species
GAAGACGAAGAUUCAAGAUGAGAUUUUUUUGAAAUGAAAGUCACCUUAUUUUGUUUUUGUUGAGGAUUUUAUUACCUCUUUUUUUUUAUCCCUCAUUUUUGCCUGGACGGCUUCUUUGAAGCUUGCGGUUCAACGGGAUGUCCUGCUUUUUGCCUAAGUCGUUUUUUUUGUGGUAUUCGACUUAGCGGACUUUUUUUUCUUUCUUUUUUAUUUUGAAAGGUUGUG